rnacentral:rRNA from 1 species
UAACCCCUAACAACGGAUGUCUUGGCUCUCGCAACGAUGAAGAACGCAGCGAAAUGCGAUAUGUAGUGUGAAUUGCAGAAUUACGUGAAUCAUCGAAUCUUUGAACGCAUAUGGCACCCGAGACCUUCGGUCGAGGGUAUGUCUGUCUCAGAGUCGGUUU